AGCAACAAAUGCCCUGCUUCCAGGAAAAGCCUCUAAGCAUCAGGUAACAUCAAAUCGUACCCCAAACCGACACAGGUGGUCAGGUAGAGAAUACCAAGGCGCUUGAGAGAACUCGGGUGAAGGAACUAGGCAAAAUGGUGCCGUAACUUCGGGAGAAGGCACGCUGACACGUAGGUGAAGUGAUUUACUCACGGAGCUGAAGUCAGUCGAAGAUACCAGCUGGCUGCAACUGUUUAUUAAAAACACAGCACUGUGCAAACACGAAAGUGGACGUAUACGGUGUGACGCCUGCCCGGUGCCGGAAGGUUAAUUGAUGGGGUCAGCGCAAGCGAAGCUCCUGAUCGAAGCCCCGGUAAACGGCGGCCGUAACUAUAACGGUCCUAAGGUAGCGAAAUUCCUUGUCGGGUAAGUUCCGACCUGCACGAAUGGCGUAAUGAUGGCCAGGCUGUCUCCACCCGAGACUCAGUGAAAUUGAACUCGCUGUGAAGAUGCAGUGUACCCGCGGCAAGACGGAAAGACCCCGUGAACCUUUACUAUAGCUUGACACUGAACAUUGAGCCUUGAUGUGUAGGAUAGGUGGGAGGCUUUGAAGUGUGGACGCCAGUCUGCAUGGAGCCGACCUUGAAAUACCACCCUUUAAUGUUUGAUGUUCUAACGUGGACCCGUAAUCCGGGUUGCGGACAGUGUCUGGUGGGUAGUUUGACUGGGGCGGUCUCCUCCUAAAGAGUAACGGAGGAGCACGAAGGUUGGCUAAUCCUGGUCGGACAUCAGGAGGUUAGUGCAAUGGCAUAAGCCAGCUUGACUGCGAGCGUGACGGCGCGAGCAGGUGCGAAAGCAGGUCAUAGUGAUCCGGUGGUUCUGAAUGGAAGGGCCAUCGCUCAACGGAUAAAAGGUACUCCGGGGAUAACAGGCUGAUACCGCCCAAGAGUUCAUAUCGACGGCGGUGUUUGGCACCUCGAUGUCGGCUCAUCACAUCCUGGGGCUGAAGUAGGUCCCAAGGGUAUGGCUGUUCGCCAUUUAAAGUGGUACGCGAGCUGGGUUUAGAACGUCGUGAGACAGUUCGGUCCCUAUCUGCCGUGGGCGCUGGAGAACUGAGGGGGGCUGCUCCUAGUACGAGAGGACCGGAGUGGACGCAUCACUGGUGUUCGGGUUGUCAUGCCAAUGGCACUGCCCGGUAGCUAAAUGCGGAAGAGAUAAGUGCUGAAAGCAUCUAAGCACGAAACUUGCCCCGAGAUGAGUUCUCCCUGAGACUUAGAGUCUCCUGAAGGAACGUUGAAGACGACGACGUUGAUAGGCCGGGUGUGUAAGCGCAGCGAUGCGUUGAGCUAACCGGUACUAAUGAACCGUGAGGCUUAACCUUACA
rnacentral:rRNA from 3 species